GAUGAACGCUGGCGGCGUGCUUAACACAUGCAAGUCGAACGAAGCGCUUUAACCUGAUUCUUCGGAUGAAGGUUUUUGCGACUGAGUGGCGGACGGGUGAGUAACGCGUGGGUAACCUGCCUCAUACAGGGGGAUAACAGUUAGAAAUGACUGCUAAUCCCGCAUAAGACCACGGAGCCGCAUGGCUCAGUGGGAAAAACUCCGGUGGUAUGAGAUGGACCCGCGUCUGAUUAGGUAGUUGGUGGGGUAACGGCCUACCAAGCCAACGAUCAGUAGCCGACCCGAGAGGGUGACCGGCCACAUUGGGACUGAGACACGGCCCAAACUCCUACGGGAGGCAGCAGUGGGGAAUAUUGCACAAUGGGGGAAACCCUGAUGCAGCGACGCCGCGUGAGCGAAGAAGUAUUUCGGUAUGUAAAGCUCUAUCAGCAGGGAAGAAAAUGACGGU
rnacentral:rRNA from 1 species